AUUCUCUCUUCGCCUGCUGCCGUCCAUGUAAGUUGGGACUUGCUCCUCCUUGCCUUCCACCAUGAUUGUGAGGCUUCCUCAGCCACGUGGAACUAUGCCCUGACCUGGGAAACCCUCGGUGAGAGGCCCACAGCCCCACUUCUAGGGUCACCACUGCUUCUUCCAGCCCAGCCAAACAGCUCCUAGUACAGCUCAGAGCACCCUGCAAGGAGGGCAGGUGUUAAAUCGAGGAGCACACAUGCUCCACGAGGAGUUCUUUGCUUUGAGGCCAUGCACAGAGGUGGGUUCACUAUGAAGCUUGUGAAAUAAGCUUCAGGACCUGCAUUUGCAUGAGCCACAGAGAGUCUGGGAGCUGCAGAAGGUUCGAGGGAAGAGGAGCCAUCACAAGCAGAAUAUUCUAGAAGGCAUUUCUGGCAAAUGGCCCAAAGAGGCCUCAGGAGAAAAGAACUUGAGUCUUCAGGGUAACCUGCGACUUUUUUGUCUCAUUAUAAAUAUUAACUUUCAUGCUUAAUUUUCAUAU
rnacentral:antisense_RNA from 1 species